AGCGAACGCUGGCGGCAGGCCUAACACAUGCAAGUCGAACGAACCUUUCGGGGUUAGUGGCGGACGGGUGAGUAACACGUGGGAACGUGCCUUUAUGUUUGGAAUAACUCAGGGAAACUUGUGCUAAUACCGAAUGUGCCCUUCGGGGGAAAGAUUUAUCGCCUUUAGAGCGGCCCGCGUCUGAUUAGCUAGUUGGUUGAGGUAAUGGCUCACCAAGGCGACGAUCAGUAGCUGGUCUGAGAGGAUGAUCAGCCACAUUGGGACUGAGACACGGCCCAAACUCCUACGGGAGGCAGCAGUGGGGAAUCUUGCGCAAUGGGCGAAAGCCUGACGCAGCCAUGCCGCGUGAAUGAUGAAGGUCUUAGGAUUGUAAAAUUCUUUCAACGGGGACGAUAAUGACGGUACCCGGAGAAGAAGCCCCGGCUAACUUCGUG
rnacentral:rRNA from 1 species